rnacentral:rRNA from 1 species
UACGUAGGGUGCGAGCGUUAAUCGGAAUUACUGGGCGUAAAGCGUGCGCAGGCGGUUCGUUAAGUCAGAUGUGAAAGCCCCGGGCUCAACCUGGGAACUGCAUUUGAAACUGGCGGGCUUGAGUGUGGCAGAGGGGGGUGGAAUUCCCAGUGUAGAGGUGAAAUUCGUAGAUAUUGGGAAGAACACCGAUGGCGAAGGCAGCCAUCUGGACCGGCACUGACGCUGAGGCGCGAAAGCGUGGGGAGCAAACAGG